UACGGAGGGAGCUAGCGUUGUUCGGAAUUACUGGGCGUAAAGCUGCACGUAGGCGGCUAUUCAAGAUCGGGGGUGAAAGCCCGGGGCUCAACCCCGGAACUGCCCUCGAAACUAGAUAGCUAGAAUCUUGGAGAGGCGAGUGGAAUUCCGAGUGUAGAGGUGAAAUUCGUAGAUAUUCGGAAGAACACCAGUGGCGAAGGCGACUCGCUGGACAAGUAUUGACGCUGAGGUGCGAAAGCGUGGGGAGCAAACAGGG
rnacentral:rRNA from 1 species